GUGGGGAAUCUUGCGCAAUGGGCGAAAGCCUGACGCAGCCAUGUCGCGUGAAUGAUGAAGGUCUUAGGAUUGUAAAAUUCUUUCACCGGGGACGAUAAUGACGGUACCCGGAGAAGAAGCCCCGGCUAACUUCGUGCCAGCAGCCGCGGUAAUACGAAGGGGGCUAGCGUUGCUCGGAAUUACUGGGCGUAAAGGGCGCGUAGGCGGACAGUUUAGUCAGAGGUGAAAGCCCAGGGCUCAACCUUGGAAUUGCCUUUGAUACUGGCUGUCUUGAGUACGGGAGAGGUGAGUGGAACUCCGAGUGUAGAGGUGAAAUUCGUAGAUAUUCGGAAGAACACCAGUGGCGAAGGCGACUCACUGGCCCGUUACUGACGCUGAGGCGCGAAAGCGUGGGGAGCAAACAGGAUUAGAUACCCCGGUAGUCC
rnacentral:rRNA from 1 species